AACGCGAAGAACCUUACCAGGUCUUGACAUCCCAAUGACCGCUCUAGAGAUAGAGUUUUCCCUUCGGGGACAUUGGUGACAGGUGGUGCAUGGUUGUCGUCAGCUCGUGUCGUGAGAUGUUGGGUUAAGUCCCGCAACGAGCGCAACCCUUGAUCUUAGUUGCCAUCAUUUAGUUGGGCACUCUAAGGUGACUGCCGGUGACAAACCGGAGGAAGGUGGGGAUGACGUCAAAUCAUCAUGCCCCUUAUGACCUGGGCUACACACGUGCUACAAUGGACGAUACAAAGAGUCGCUAACUCGCGAGGGUAUGCUAAUCUCAUAAAAUCGUUCUCAGUUCGGAUUGUAGGCUGCAACUCGCCUACAUGAAGCCGGAAUCGCUAGUAAUCGUGGAUCAGCAUGCCACGGUGAAUACGUUCCCGGGCCUUGUACACACCGACGCGUA
rnacentral:rRNA from 1 species